rnacentral:lncRNA from 1 species
CCUCGUUCUUGCUAUGCUGUGGCGCCACCCCGAAAAUGUCGAGCUUGAGAAAGUUCAAGUCGUUCACUACUGCGCUGCUGUAAGAUUUAUCCCACCUACACACACACACACACACACACACAUGUAUAGUAUAUGUAUAAUACAAUCGAAAUGACAUGGUUAAUAUGAAUAAAAUACCAGGGAUCGAAGCCAUGGAGGUACACUGGAGAAGAAGCUAACAUGGACAGAGAAGACAUCAAAAUGCUUGUGAAGAAAUGGUGGGAUGUUUACGACGAUGCUUCACUCGAUUUCAAGGCUGAAGAUUCUGUUGCAGGCUCAAGGCCAUCAAUCAUGGCUUCCAUGCCUGAACCCGCAGUUUCAUACAUCCCUGCCCCUUCUGCUGCUUAAGCAGAAGAAAAACAAAACACUGAAGCCACGGAGUUCUUAUGCGAAUUCGGUGCAACUCGGUUUUUAUCCUAUUGACUACUUUCUUUUUCAUUUUGAUUUGGUAGGCUACUUGGCCUAUGUUUUUGGUGUGUGACUGAACAAUAAUCGUAAGUUUGGGUUUUCGGUUUGAUUUUCGCAGUAUGUACUAAGCAGUAAAGGAAUAUGUAAUUGUUUCUACUGCAGUUAUUAUAAAAAUGGUUCUUAUAUUAUUAUAUACAUGCAGUGUCCCUGAGCAAGUAAUUUUCACUUCAUACAAUCAAUACAGCUACCAAGUUUCAUUCUUCUACCAGAUUAUCAAACAAUUCAUGAUUUUUUUCACCGGAAAAAAUAAAAUAAAAAAAUGGAGAAUUUCUACACUAACCUAAAAAUUAUGAGAUUCUACAAUCAAAUCAACAAAAUACAACUAGAAUGCAAUAAAUUAGGGAUUAAUACAGAGAAUCGUCGAAAAGUUUAAAGUAAAUGAAUCAUGAACUGAUCGAAGGAGAGUGAGAUAGGUACCUGAGUAAAACUUCAAACGGCUCGUAUCCCCAAAUUCGACGAUUGAUGAUCAGCCAACAAUUGCCAUUUUUACAGUGAAUUUUUGGUUUUGGAGUUCAAAUUG